AUCGUAACUCCUACGGGAGGCAGCAGUGGGGAAUUUUGGACAAUGGGGGCAACCCUGAUCCAGCAAUGCCGCGUGAGUGAAGAAGGCCUUCGGGUUGUAAAGCUCUUUUGUCAGGGAGGAAACGGUAGUAGCUAAUAUCUAUUACUAAUGACGGUACCUGAAGAAUAAGCACCGGCUAACUACGUGCCAGCAGCCGCGGUAAUACGUAGGGUGCAAGCGUUAAUCGGAAUUACUGGGCGUAAAGCGUGCGCAGGCGGUUGUGUAAGUCAGGUGUGAAAUCCCCGGGCUCAACCUGGGAAUUGCAUUUGAGACUGCACGGCUAGAGUGUGUCAGAGGGGGGUAGAAUUCCACGUGUAGCAGUGAAAUGCGUAGAUAUGUGGAGGAAUACCGAUGGCGAAGGCAGCCCCUUGGGAUAACACUGACGCUCAUGCACGAAAGCGUGGGGAGCAAACAGGAUUAGAAACCCGAGUAGUCCUAGAGC
rnacentral:rRNA from 1 species